AGAGGGGAGCUUGUGUGACAGGCUGAGAGGAAGGAUCUAUACCUUCGACCCAUAACCUGAUUUGGAUAAUGCCAACGUAGGGAUGCCU
rnacentral:ncRNA from 1 species